rnacentral:rRNA from 1 species
AUUGAACGCUGGCGGAAUGCUUUACACAUGCAAGUCGAACGGCAGCACGGACUUCGGUCUGGUGGCGAGUGGCGAACGGGUGAGUAAUGUAUCGGAACGUGCCCAGUCGUGGGGGAUAACGUAGUGAAAAUUACGCUAAUACCGCAUACGAUCUAUGGAUGAAAGCGGGGGAUCGCAAGACCUCGCGCGAUUGGAGCGGCCGAUAUCAGAUUAGGUAGUUGGUGGGGUAAAGGCCCACCAAGCCAACGAUCUGUAGCUGGUCUGAGAGGACGACCAGCACCACUGGGACUGGGACACGGUCCAGAAGCCUACGGGAGGCAGCAGUGGGGAAUUUUGGACAAUGGGCGAAAGCCUGAUCCAGCCAUUCCGCGUGCAGGAUGAAGGCCCUCGGGUUGUAAACUGCUUUUGUACAGAACGAAAAGGUUUCUACUAAUACUAGGAGCUCAUGACGGUACUGUAAGAAUAAGCACCGGCUAACUACGUGCCAGCCGCCGCCGUAA